rnacentral:rRNA from 1 species
UACGUAGGGGGCGAGCGUUGUCCGGAUUUAUUGGGCGUAAAGAGCGUGUAGGCGGUUCGGUAAGUCUGUCGUGAAAUCCUGAGGCUCAACCUCGGGCGUGCGAUGGAUACUGCCGGGCUAGAGGAUGGUAGAGGCGAGUGGAAUUCCCGGUGUAGCGGUGAAAUGCGCAGAUAUCGGGAGGAACACCAGUAGCGAAGGCGGGUAGCUGGGCCGACACUGACGCUGAGGCGCGAAAGCCAGGGGAGCGAACGGG